rnacentral:rRNA from 1 species
CAGCAGCCGCGGUAAUACCGGCGGCCCGAGUGGCGGUCACUAUUAUUGGGCUUAAAGCGUCCGUAGCCGGGUUGGGAAGUCCUCCGGGAAAUCUGGCCGCUUAACGGUCAGAAUGCCGGAGGAUACUCCCAGCCUAGGGAGCGGGAGAGGCCGAGGGGAUUCCCGGAGUAGGGGUGAAAUCCUAUAAUCCCGGGAGGACCACCUGUGGCGAAGGCGCCCGGCUGGAACGCGUCCGACGGUGAGGGACGAAGGCCAGGGGAGCGAACCGGAUUAGAUACCCGGGUAGUCCUGGCUGUAAACGAUGCGGACUAGGUGUCGGGCAAGCUAAGGGCUUGUCCGGUGCCGCAGGGAAGCCGUUAAGUCCGCCGCCUGGGGAGUACGGCCGCAAGGCUGAAACUUAAAGGAAUUGGCGGG